rnacentral:misc_RNA from 1 species
AAGAAUUGCAGAAAGGCUCACCAUUUAAACCUUACUGGAACUUAUUCCAAGUUGCCUCGGCGGGCGGCUUCCCCUCACGGGACCGCAGACCCCGCCUUGCAGGAGGUAAGGGCAGACCCGCCGGAGGCUACGAAACUCUGUAUUAUUAGUGGCUAUCUGUGAGUAUAAACUUAAAUAAGUUA